rnacentral:lncRNA from 1 species
CUCCUGCAACACUUGCACUGGGUUAAAUGUCAAUCGUAUUGAUCAUUUAACCCUAGAACGAUUCUUAAUCGUUGAUCAACCAUCCGAUCGGAUCAUGAACUCUAAUGUGUGUGACAUCAUAGGUCCGAACCUAAGCCAGUAGUACAGGAAUAAAUUUUUAUACCAAUCGAAGUGACCAUCUAACAAUAGUACCCAACGAUCGGAUAGGUCGAAUGUGUAGAACAACAUCCUUAGAACCCAUGCGGAUAUAGUUUUCAUAUAAUUCAUCUCCUUGACCAAAAUGAUC